rnacentral:rRNA from 1 species
GCCUUUUCGAGGGGGAUAACAGUUGGAAACGACUGCUAAUACCGCAUAAUGUCUACGGACCAAACGGGGCUUCGGCUCCGGCGCAAAGAGAGGCCCAAGUGAGAUUAGCUAGUUGGUGAGGUAAAGGCUCACCAAGGCGACGAUCUCUAGCUGUUCUGAGAGGAAGAUCAGCCACACUGGGACUGAGACACGGCCCAGACUCCUACGGGAGGCAGCAGUGGGGAAUAUUGCACAAUGGGGGAAACCCUGAUGCAGCCAUGCCGCGUGUGUGAAAAAGGCCUUCCGGGUUGUAAAGCAUUUUCAUUUGUGAGGAAAAUUGGGUAGU